ACAAAUUGAACACAUCUUUCCAGGAGCCAUUUUGGAAAGGAAAAGUUGGCUAGUGACACAUCUCAACCUCCUUCAGACAAAAGCCUACUGGUUGUUUGGAGAAGACUGGAACUUUCUGGGUGAUGUGUGAAGGCACAUGCUAAAUGAUGCAUUAGCAGGCCUCAGCUUCCUGACCUGUAAAAGGAGGAUAAUAAACCUUUCCUACAGAGAAUCCAUGAAUACCUCAACUAUAAAGGUGAGUACAGUAUUGUGUCCUCCUUGAGGGUGGGAACAUGCCUU